CUAGCUGUGUUUAUAGGGGUUUUUAACGUUGUUCUCUCUCCUUGUCUCUCCCCAGGUGUGGUCACAAGGAGGCAGUGUUCUUCCAGUCUCACAGUAUGAAGGCUGAGGACGCCAUGAGACUGUACUACGUGUGCACAGCGCCUCACUGUGGACACAGAUGGACGGAGUAAAGAUGAUGAAGAGGUCUAACAUUUUAUCUACAGUAAAUCUCCAACAGAGUUUGUUUUUUAACUGCUGGUGUUUGUAAACUCUGAAACCAUCUUUGUGUUUGUCUUUUUAGUUUCCAUCAUGUGAAUAUAUUGUAUUAAUAGUUAUUUUUUAUAUAACAGUUGUCAUUCAGGUGUGUUUUGUUAGAUUAAAAGAAUCAAUUGUU